rnacentral:rRNA from 1 species
AGUGAACGCUGGCGGUAGGCCUAACACAUGCAAGUCGAACGGCAGCACAGUAAGAGCUUGCUCUUACGGGUGGCGAGUGGCGGACGGGUGAGGAAUACAUCGGAAUCUACUUUUUCGUGGGGGAUAACGUAGGGAAACUUACGCUAAUACCGCAUACGACCUACGGGUGAAAGCAGGGGAUCUUCGGACCUUGCGCGAUUGAAUGAGCCGAUGUCGGAUUAGCUAGUUGGCGGGGUAAAGGCCCACCAAGGCGACGAUCCGUAGCUGGUCUGAGAGGAUGAUCAGCCACACUGGAACUGAGACACGGUCCAGACUCCUACGGGAGGAAGCAGUGGGGAAUAUUGGACAAUGGGCGCAAUCCUGAUCCAGCCAUACCGCGUGGGUGAAGAAGGCCUUCGGGUUGUAAAGCCCUUUUGUUGGGAAAGAAAAGCAGCAGGUUAAUACCCCGCUGUUCUGACGGUACCCAAAGAAUAAGCACCGGCUAACUUCGUG